rnacentral:rRNA from 1 species
UACAGAGGGUGCAAGCGUUAAUCGGAAUUACUGGGCGUAAAGCGUGCGUAGACGGUUACAUAAGUCGGGUGUGAAAGCCCCGGGCUCAACCUGGGAAUUGCAUUCGAGACUGCGUAGCUAGGGUGCGGAAGAGGGAAGCGGAAUUUCCGGUGUAGCGGUGAAAUGCGUAGAUAUCGGAAGGAACGCCGGUGGCGAAAGCGGCGUGCUGGACCGCUUCUGACGCUGAGGCGCGAAAGCCAGGGGAGCAAACGGG